CCUCCAGACUCCUACGGGAGGCAGCAGUGGGGAAUAUUGCACAAUGGGGGGAACCCUGAUGCAGCGACGCCGCGUGGGUGAAGGAGCACCUCGGUGCGUAAAGCCCUAUCGGCAGGGAAGAAACAGACGGUACCUGACUAAGAAGCCCCGGCUAACUACGUGCCAGCAGCCGCGGUAAUACGUAGGGGGCAAGCGUUAUCCGGAUUCACUGGGUGUAAAGGGAGCGUAGACGGCGACGCAAGUCUGGAGUGAAAGCCCGGGGCCCAACCCCGGGACUGCUCUGGAAACUGCGGCGCUGGAGUACGGGAGGGGCAGGCGGAAUUCCUGGUGUAGCGGUGAAAUGCGUAGAUAUUAGGAGGAACACCGGUGGCGAAGGCGGCCUGCUGGACGACGACUGACGCUGAGGCUCGAAAGCGUGGGGAGCAAACAGGAUUAGAUACCCUAGUAU
rnacentral:rRNA from 1 species